GACGAACGCUGGCGGCGUGCUUAACACAUGCAAGUCGAACGGAAAGGCCCUGCUUUUGUGGGGUGCUCGAGUGGCGAACGGGUGAGUAACACGUGAGUAACCUGCCCUUGACUUUGGGAUAACUUCAGGAAACUGGGGCUAAUACCGGAUAGGAGCUCCUGCUGCAUGGUGGGGGUUGGAAAGUUUCGGCGGUUUGGGAUGGACUCGCGGCUUAUCAGCUUGUUGGUGGGGUAGUGGCUUACCAAGGCUUUGACGGGUAGCCGGCCUGAGAGGGUGACCGGCCACAUUGGGACUGAGAUACGGCCAAGACUCCUACGGGAGGCAGCAGUGGGGAAUAUUGCACAAUGGGCGGAAGCCUGAUGCAGCAACGCAGCGUGCGGGAUGACGGCCUUCGGGUUGUAAACCGUUUUCGCCUGUGACGAAGCGUGAGUGACGGUAAUGGGUAAAGAAGCACCGGCUAAAUACGUG
rnacentral:rRNA from 1 species